rnacentral:rRNA from 1 species
GACAGAGGUCUCGAGCGUUAGGCGGAAUCAUUGGGCGUAAAGCGCGCGUAGGUGGCCUCAUAAGUCCGCUGUGAAAGUCAAAGGCUCAACCUUUGAAAGCCGGUGGAUACUGUGAGGCUAGAGUACGGAAGAGGCGAGUGGAAUUCCUGGUGUAGCGGUGGAAUGCGCAGAUAUCAGGAGGAACACCAAUAGCGAAGGCAGCUCGCUGGGACGUUACUGACACUGAGGCGCGAAAGCGUGGGGAGCGAACAGG